rnacentral:rRNA from 1 species
GAUGAACGCUAGCGGCAGGCUUAAUACAUGCAAGUCGAGGGACAGCACAGGUAGCAAUACUGGGUGGUAACCGGCAAACGGGUGCGGAACACGUACACAACCUUCCUUUAAGUGGGGGAUAGCCCAGAGAAAUUUGGAUUAAUACCCCGUAAUAUAGUUGAAUGGCAUCAUUUGAUUAUUAUAGCUACGGCGCUUAAUGAUGGGUGUGCGGCUGAUUAGAUAGUUGGCGGGGUAACGGCCAACCAAGUCUACGAUCAGUAGCUGAUGUGAGAGCAUGAUCAGCCACACGGGCACUGAGACACGGGCCCGACUCCUACGGGAGGCAGCAGUAAGGAAUAUUGGUCAAUGGACGCAAGUCUGAACCAGCCAUGCCGCGUGAAGGAUUAAGGUCCUCUGGAUUGUAAACUUCUUUUAUUUGGGACGAAAAAGGGUCUUUCUAGAUCAACUGACGGUACCAGAUGAAUAAGCACCGGCUAACUCCGUGCCAGCAGCCGCAGUAAAAC